CCUACGGGUGGCAGCAGUGGGGAAUAUUGCUCAAUGGGGGAAACCCUGAUGCAGCGACGCCGCGUGAGGGAAGAAGGUAUUCGGUAUGUAAAGCCCCUUCUGUAGGGAAGAAAAUGACGGUACUUGACUAAGAAGCACCGUCUAACUACGGGCCAGCAGCCGCGGUAAAACGUCGGGGGCAAGCGUUAUCCGGAUUUAAUGGGCGUAAAGGGAGCGUAGACGGGAGUGCAAGUCUGGCGUGAAAGGCGUGGGCUCAACCCCCGGACUGCUCUGGAAACUGUACGGCUGGAGUGCAGGAGAGGUAGGUGGAAUUCGCGGUGUAGCGGUGAAAUGCGUAGAUA
rnacentral:rRNA from 1 species